AGAAUCAACGCUGGCGGCGCGCUUAACACAUGCAAGUCGCACGAGAAAGGGUAGCAAUACCUGAGUAAAGUGGCGCACGGGUGAGUAACACGUGAAUGAUCUACCUCCGAGUGGGGAAUAAACUGAGAGAAAUCUUAGCUAAUACCGCAUAACACUUACGAGUCAAAGCAGCAAUGCGCUUGGAGAGGAGUUCGCGGCCGAUUAGUUAGUUGGCGGGGUAAUGGCCCACCAAGACGAUGAUCGGUA
rnacentral:rRNA from 1 species